rnacentral:rRNA from 1 species
GUACGCUAUUCAGAGUUUGAUCCUGGCUCAGGACGAACGCUGGCGGCAUGCCUAACACAUGCAAGUCGAACGGGGCGAGGAAAGCUUGCUUUCCGAGCUAGUGGCGGACGGGUGAGUAAUGCGUGAGCAACCUGCCUCAAAGAGGGGGACAACAGUUGGAAACGACUGCUAAUACCGCAUGAUGUACGGAGAGGGCAUCCUCACCGUACCAAAGAUUUUAUCGCUUUGAGAUGGGCUCACGUCUGAUUAGCUAGUUGGUGAGGUAACGGCUCACCAAGGCUUCGAUCAGUAGCCGGACUGAGAGGUUGAACGGCCACAUUGGGACUGAGAUACGGCCCAG